GCUCUCGUGGCCUAAUGGAUAAGGCAUCUGACUUGGGUUCGACUCCCACCGUGAGUG
rnacentral:tRNA from 1 species